rnacentral:rRNA from 1 species
AUUGAACGCUGGCGGCAGGCCUAACACAUGCAAGUCGAGCGGAUGAAGGGAGCUUGCUCCUGGAUUCAGCUGCGGACGGGUGAGUAAUGCCUAGGAAUCUGCCUGGUAGUGGGGGAUAACGUCCGGACACGGGCGCUAAUACCUCAUACGUCCUGAGGGAGAAAGUGGGGGUUCUUCGGACCUCACGCUCUCAGCUGACCCUAGGUCGGAUUAGCUAGUUGGUUGGGUAAAGGCCUACCAAGGCGACGAUCCGUAACUGGUCUGAGAGGAUGAUCAGUCACACUGGAACUGAGACACGGUCCAGACUCCUACGGGAGGCAGCAGUGGGGAAUAUUGGGCAAUGGGCGAAAGCCUGAUCCAGCCAUGCCGCGUGUGUGAAGAAGGUCUUCGGAUUGUAAAGCACUUUAAGUUGGGAGGAAGGGCAGUAAGUUAAUACCUUGCUGUUUUGACGUUACCAACAGAAUAAGCACCGGCUAACUUCGUG